GACUAAUUUUUUGUUUGAAGGCCAUUGAUCAGAUGGUCAACAUCAUCUUACCAGUUUGAUUUUUGAACAAUGGACAUUCAUAAUAGGUCGUGGCUAAAGGAUUGUUUGGAUGAUCAAAUAUGUAAGCAUGCAUGCUCAUCCAUCAAAUCAAUGGUCUAGAUUACCACCUAUGCUACUGACUGCUGAUAUUCAAUUUCAACACAGUUUUCAUGCCCCAAUGCAGCAUGGCCCUGUACUUUUGUUCUGCUCAUGAGUUGUUUUAGAAUAAAUUAGUGGCACAUUGUUUUUAUAUUUUAAUUAGAAAUUUUUUGACAUACAAGCUCUUGCUCUUGUAGGAGCUAGGAGCUACAAUUUAAUUAGAUUUUUUUUUUUUUUUUGAUAUAUGAGCUCUUGCUUUUACAGGAAAAGCUAAGUGGCACGCAGAGGCGAUUGAAUGGGAUGUAGAGGAUGGCUGUGAAUGAAAAUUUAUUUCUCUUUUAUGUUGUUUCUAUUGGCAUCUUCAUGUAUUAAUGGUGUGGGAUAUUUGGAUGAUCUUUUCAAACUGUAGUAUGACAAUGUGUGUACUUUGUGGGUGUUUUGUUUUUUUUUUUGUGGUGGUUUGGUUUGGCUACUAAUAUGUAUUACUUUAUCUAUGUUCGGAUGUCAUAUGGUCAUUCAAAGUGAAACAGUUAUUUAGAGCGUAGGCUAGGGAGGAGAUCCACAAUGCUUCACCAGGGAGUUUACACAGGUCCAUGAUCAUAGCUGCCCACCAGGUGCAGGUGCAGGCCACAAUCCUGCCUUCCCUGCCCAAAAUUCAGGUGAAGUUUGCUAAGCCCACACAUGGGUGGAGGUGGAGCCUUCCGCAACAAUAUACACCGCAAUGUACAUGGAAAUCUGCUUUGUUUUCCACAUAAAAAGUUGUUUUCUCCAUUAAGAAAAAAGUAUGUUAACUUUACAAGCAUGCAAUGUUGGCAUGUGUGUCGUAUUGCCUCUAUGCAUUAAUGGCCUCAACAUUUCUUAUAAUGUCUAUUAUGCAGUGUUUUUUCUAUAAAAUUUUAUUAUUAAUUUUUCUUUAUAUAUAUAUAUAUAUAUUCCUAUGAACUUUAAAUUCUAGUUUUAUUCUUUGAGAAAUUUUAAAUUAUGGAACAGGAAGGAAGGUCAGGACAACUCGGGGAAUCUUUGGAAACACAUCUUCAAGUUCAAACACCUCUAGAACUGCUGGAGACUCUAGUACAAUGCUGGAGGUUGCAGAGGAGAAGAUCCUGGUGGAUAUAGAGAAGGAGAAGAAUAUGCCAAUCAGUUAGGAGCCCUGUCUUGUGC